AAUAGACCUCAUGCAUUAAAUCCUCAAAACAAGGGUCUGUUUUAUGACAGAUGAGUUGGCGAGGGAUUCCAGUGGAGCACCUCGCUUGUUUUUCAUUAAAAAUGGCCUUUUCUCAUUUAAAGAGUUAAUUAGGAACAUGGACUUCCCACUUCAAGAGAUAUAAUAUUAUGUUAAAUAAUAUUGAUACAUAACUUUAAUUGGGUGUAGAUGAGAGAAACCAAUGCUGGUCCCUUUGGACAUUUUUAGUUCAUUGUUCAGAUCAUUGGAGGUUCUCUGAAUAUCACUGUGUGUUUUGGGCCGAGCACCAAUCACCCCGGCGUGUCAUCAGAAGGGGACAGUCGCUCAGCAAUUCGCCAUACGAAGCCGAAAAUGAUUUUCUCAGCCCUUUGCGAGAGCAAAAACCGACGGGAUGCUCUUCAGAUAUCAGAGGAGGGAAGAAGCGGCUUCGAGGGCUCUCUGGUUGGACCGCUGGACCCACGAUGAACCAAAAUAAUCUGAGAAGGGAAGGAGACCUGCUGCGGCCGCCAGCCGAUUUCCGGCCAAUCUGUUCCACCAAACCGUGUCAUUUGAUGGCUUCCUCGUGUGUGAAUGUGGUUUUAAACAAGAAGCAACAAGCAGAAUGCGCCUGUUUGAUGAAU